rnacentral:rRNA from 1 species
UACGAGGGGGGCAAGCGUUGUUCGGAAUUAUUGGGCGUAAAGGGCGCGUAGGCGGUUUGGCAAGUUUGGUGUGAAAUCUUCGGGCUCAACUCGAAGUCUGCACCGAAAACUGCCGGGCUUGAGUAUGGGAGAGGUGAGUGGAAUUUCCGGUGUAGCGGUGAAAUGCGUAGAUAUCGGAAGGAACACCUGUGGCGAAAGCGGCUCACUGGACCAUUACUGACGCUGAGGCGCGAAAGCUAGGGGAGCAAACGGG